GGGGAGGGGGAGGCGCGGGGAGCUCGCCGCGGCUCCACACUGGGGCAGGGGAGAAGAUGCCCCCCACCCCUCUAGUUCGGCCUCUCCAUUCAAGUUCCCCGGACCCGGCCGCCAGGAUCCGGGAUGGCAACAGCCGCCUGCCCGGCUCUGCGCCCUUUUUCCAGCCACCGCGCAGAAAUUUAGGUCAAGGACGUCGGGAUCAAAUCCAAACCCUGGCGCUCCUCGGGCAGCCGCCGAGACCCCCCAGGAUCGCGGGGCUUCAGGAUUGCGGAGACUCUCCCGCACAAACACCAGCCACAAGUUUUAUUUUCCUUUCGCGCUGGAAGUUCUCUCUGGCUCUCGCUCCGCACCGGCACGUCUUGCGCGGCUCCCCGCCCUUACCCGGCAGAGGAUUAGGGUACAGUGGAAUACACUCAACACCAAAACUGUACCAAAUCCACCGUGGGUCUUUGAAAAAUGGACUAUUUGGAAAAUACCAACAUCAACCAAACCCGGGAAGCCGGCUUUCACGCCGUCAAGAUGCACAAGUAGCCUGCUAGAGAGGCCCACGUGGAGAAGAAUUGCAGUUUCCUGUCAGCAACCCGAACUAACCUGCCAGGAUUGUGAGACAUCUCGACGGUGCCUCAGCCAGCCCCAGCCAUGCCUUCAGACGACAGCUACCCCAGCUCACAUCUCAACAACUUCCCGAGAGACCUGGAGCCAGAAGCUCCCAGCUAAGCCACUCCCAAUUCCUGACCCUCAGAUACUGAGUGAGACAUUAAAUACUUGUUUGAAGCUACUACGUUUGGGGCUAAUUUGCUGCACAGAAUAGAUGAUUAAUACAGAGAUACUUCAAAAUGCACAAAAACAGAACUGCUUACUUCCUAGGUUUGUGGCAGGAUUCCUACACUAACAGUUCUGGAGUGCUUUAGUUAGACUCCAGCCAAAUGAACUGCGUAUUAGAUAUAAAGUAGCGAUUGCAUAUUAUUAAUGUUAUCAGAUUGCAACAUAUUUCAUGUUCAGUUACCUACAGUGCUCUUUCUGGAGCAUCGCUUUGCUCAUCUGCUUAUCCCCACCGCACAUUUAUAAAAGGUCGCUGUUAAGAUAUAAAAGUAUACAUAUGAUUUAAAUGUCUUGACUCAGUUACUAACAACCGUGAGCACGUUUUCAAAUUGGAAAAGCAAGAUCCAUUUAAACUCUGUGUUCUUCGCAAAAGGCUCUUUGUUUACUUCUUGGUAUUGCAUUUUACCGGCAGGCCAAGCCCCUCUCUGAUUGAAGAGUCCGUUCACUUUAUCUGUCUCGGUAGCCUCACAAGCCUUUACUGUUCAGAACAGACACGGCAGACUUUGCACCAAAAAAGCAAACCGUAUUUUUAACCAGAAAGUCUUUAAUAAAAUGAAUUUUUAUUCAUGAAAAUUCCACCAAGCAUAAAUUCCCUGUCUAAAAGUAAUGGGCCCUUUGUAUUUCCCUUAAAUAAAU